rnacentral:antisense_RNA from 1 species
GCUUGUACAGGAGAACGCCGUGCGUUUGAGCUUGAACUUGAUAAGCCUGGCAGAAGCCUGAUGAACCCAGGUUGAGUGAGACGUGAGACAGAGUCUUGUUCUGUUGCACAUGCUGGCGUACAGUGCCACAAUCACAGCUCACCGCAGCUUCCAACUUCUGGACUCACGUGAUCCUUCUGCCUCAGACUUCCAAGUACCUGGGACUACAGGCACGAAUCACCACAGCCAGCUUGGAGUGACUUUCUAAGGGAUAUUGAAGCCAUCCAUUGCUUUGUCUUCCAAGUUCAUCAGUGUCUGCACAACAUGGUAACAACAAAGUCAAAGACAUUCCAGACACUCUUCCAGAAAAGGGAAAAGCUAGGAGAGCCACAUAAGAAGGAUCUCCAGGAUGAAAAUAAACAAGAUAAACCAAGUUGCCACCUCCAAGGUCAGCUUCAAUGGCCACAGUUAGGUAUUUGUGGAUUCCAGCAAUUCUAUUUCAACCACCAAUACGAUCAUAUUCAAAAAGAUGAGGAAGAUGAUGAA